AUGGUUGAAAUUUUCAGAGGUCAUCCAAUAUGGAAUGACCAUCUAAAUCUUGCUAAAGAUUCCAUUAUAAAGCAGAAUGAAGCACCGUGGUGGACUUUUGGUGGAGGAACUAAACUGGUGAUCGCUCGUCCCACAGUGAAGCCCUCCGUGUCUCUGCUGCCUCCCUCUUCUCUGCAGAUCUCUGGAGACUCAGCCGCACUGCUCUGUCUGCUCAGCUCUUACUCUCCACAGGGGGUGCAGGUGAGCUGGACGCUGGACGGGUCAGAGGUCACCGAGGGGGUUCAGACCAGCGCAGAGAGCGAGCGGGACGGACGCUACAGCCGCAGCAGCGUCCUGAGCCUCAGCAAAGCACGCUGGGAAGCCGGCGAGCGCUUCGUCUGCAGAGUAACACAUGACGGAGCUGCUCGGGAGACCACGUUCCUCAAGAGCUCCGAGUGCUGAUGUUUCUCCAGUGAAGAGCAGCAGGAUUCACAGCAGUCUCCUGAUUUACAGCUCAAUACUCAAGCAGUCUUUCAAUGUGCUGCCAUUGCUGUUCAUUCAAUAAAGCUUCUGAACGCCUUA